rnacentral:rRNA from 1 species
GACGAACGCUGGCGGCGUGCCUAAUACAUGCAAGUCGGCCGCAGUUGCGAACGGGUGAGUAACGCGUAGGUAACUAACUAUUAGAGGGGGAUAACUAUUGGAAACGAUAGCUAAUACCGCAUACUAUUAGAUGGACCUGCGUUGUAUUAGCUAGUAGGUAGGGUAAUGGACUACCUAGGCAACGAUACAUAGCCGACCUGAGAGGGUGGUCGGGCAAAAUGGGACUGAGACACGGCCCAGGACCCGACGGGAGGCAGAAGUAGGGAAACUUUGGCAAUGGGGGGAACGCUGAACGAGCAACGCCGCGUGAGUGAAAAAGGUUUUCGGAACGGAAAGCUCUGUUGUUAAGGAAGCGGUACCUAACCAGAAAGUGACGGCUAACUACGUGCCAGCAGCCGCGGUAAUAC